CCAGGCUCCCUGCCCAGCUGGUGUCUUCAUUGAAGCUCAUCCUCUUCUCCCUCCCUGCCCUGCUUUGGUUUUCUCUGGAACCAUCUCACUGCUGGUUCAGCGCCCAGCAGCCACAGGAGGUGAUGUGGAGCCUCUGCGGAAUCUCUGCAGGCUGUAAGGGAGAGAACCUUGCCCUGUUCCCGCAGCAGUGCUGUGUCAGGGCAUGGACUGGCUAUGGAUUCACUCACUUGAGGUAAAAGAUCAGGAACUUCCGUUGCUCCAGGCUGCCCUUCACAACAGUGUCCGUGUAUCCCUUUCCACAGCCUGUGAGAGAGAAUGUCACAGCCUGCUCGGGGAGACCUGGCACAGCAGCUGCCACCCAUCCCACCUCAGAGCCAUCACAGGUAGGGACAGAGGGCACAGUGACUGGCUGGGGCAGAGCUGGGGAGCAGGCAUGAAGGCCCUGGGCAAGCAGAACUGAUGCAGAGCUGCACAACUGCAUCAUGACCCUGAGCCUUUCCUUGGCUCAGAGGGGGAGGUCCUUCCUCCUUUGUGACCUCUAAACCACUUGAGAUCAGCGAAGAACAAGAGCUCUGGGUAACAUUCAGGCCCAGAGCUCGAACUCGCCGAGGCAGCCAGUCCAAAACUUGAGCUGCUUCAGGUGAACUCUGCAACCACCGUGUUUACAAGCCCAGACCCAGCUGGUGGGUGAGCAAUGGGCAGGGAAGAAGUUCUGCUGUUCCCAUCUCUCUGCCCCCUCCUACCUGCAUAGCGGAUGCUUUUCCCAAGCAACGUGGUCCAGAAGAAGGGAACGGUGUGCAACUCCUUCUCUUUCUUCAGCAUGUUUAAGGCAGCAAUGUGACCUGUGACGAGCCAACAGAGGAAAUAUUUUUCUCGAAGGUGCUCAAAGAAGUGUUCUCUGCCUCUUGUUAUCCUGCCCUGUCCCUUCUGCCCCAUUCCCUCCUCCAGGGGAGCUGGAAAGUGAGGUGGCUGAGCUCUCACCGUGGGCCUCAGCCACUUGUUGGUGAUGGAUGCUGGACCGGUCCCCGUUGAGAAGCGCUACUGGAAAGGACACCACGUCCCCCGCAGCGAAGACAUUUGGGAUGUUGGUUUGCAUGUGCUAAGGGGACAAAGAGCAGUUAGUGCAAGGAUGAGAGUGGAGGGAUGGGGUUGGCCUCGGAAUACUCAGCUGGCACUCACCAGAUCCACCAGGAUGGCACCUUUGUCAUCUCUGGCAAUGGAGGUGCCCUUCAGAAAUGCUGAGCUGGGGGUCGACCCUGCAGGGAGAGGAGCAGGGACAAAAGGCAGGGAGGAAAUUUGGUCCCACAGCAAACAUGUGCCCGUGCUGCCUGCUCAGCCUGCUCAGGGCUGAGCACUUGCUCUGUUCAGCACUCAGAGCACGAGCUGUGCUUGGGCUGGUGCUGAGCUAAUCCAGGGGCAAUAAAACCAGGGCCCAGGACACGGCACGCUCCAGUAACACAGCAGUGACCUAUGGAGCUCAGCAAGUGAGCCAAAGGCACUCUGAGUGUAAUUGGCUCCCUUCCUCCAAGGCCAAGUGCUUGUUCAUGAACUGCUGACUUUCUGCAGGUGUUCGGGGCCAGGAGGAAGGGCUGGAUGAUAACAGAAUGGGAAAGAGACUGCAGGGAAUGGUGUCCUGGGAAUGAACUGUGGUGUUCUGGGCUUGCAGACUGUUCUCCCCAUUCCCAAAGAGCCUCACUCUCCCAACUGUGGUCUCUUACCUAUUCCCACCACUACCACAUCUGCAGGUAAUUUCUCUCCGUUGGCAAGAACAGCCUCUGUGACCUAGGAGAGAAGGAAGAAUCAUUAAUAAAGGGUUAAAAACACUGUCCUAAUUCCGGCAGCCUCCCUGCUGCUUCAUUCUUUGCUGUCUUUUUUCUUCCCCAGGUUCGGAUCACCUUGUCCAACUAACGUGCGUUGCUGGGAAUGUAAAAGAAAAUCACAGUGCUGUCCCUGAGAGAGGAACACUUACUGGUGCCCUUUGAGCCCAGAGCUGUACUCAUUGAAAAGAAAGGGAGGGUCUAGACAUGGGAGAGGACAGUCGAGAUGUAGACACUGGGUUAUACCUCAGUUUGGGAUUUUUUUUCCCCUAAAAUUAGCAGUUCAGGGAUCACAGAGGCAUGACUGACCUUUCCAUACUUUCCUUUCAGCUCACAGAGUUCUGAUUUCAUGUGGAACUUCACCCCUUUAUUUUGCAGCAUCUGAAAAGGACUGGUUUCAGUAUUCAUUAGGAAAUUCCAGGCUGUACUGCUAUAAAAACAGCUCUGCCCAGCCAAAACCCAGGCAGACAGCACAGCUGCUGCUCCAGGCUGCAGAGAGGUUUCAUUUGUGUCCCUGGCUGUUGCAGGGACCCUGGAAGCCUGGCUUUUCUCUGCAGUCUCAGUCAGGACUGGUGUGUGCGGUGGGUUUGGGAUGAAGCAGGGCUGGGGAGUGUGAUGUGUGCGUGGGGAGGUUGGGACCAGCCAUGUGUGAGGCUGGUGCUGGGCACACAGAGUUAUGACUCAGCACAGGGGCGAGGUUUCCUGGGCUGUCGUGGAUCACUGGGCUGCCUGGAUAAUGUGUGUUCUCCCUCCUAGAAUUUAGUGCCAGGUUUUCCUAACCUUCAUGGCGACUCCUCCAACCUGAGGACCCAGAGCGUGCUGGAAGGGGAACUCCUCUCUUUCCACCACUGAGAUGGUACCAGCCUUGUCUGAGAGGAAGGCAGCCACCUCCAUUCCUGCAAGGGAAAGGCAUGCCCAAGAAGCGCGUUCCCACGUGGAGAAGCAGCAGCCCUGGUGGAGGCAUUCUCUGACUCAGCAGAAAUCGCUGGAGAAACAUCUGCUCGGGGAUGAAAGCUGCAGUGCACAGGCAAAGGGGCAGGUACAGAGCAUUCAUGUCUGGCAAUGGUGAGAGAUGGGAUACAGGCCUGGCAGACACCUGGCCCCACCACAAGGAAAGAAGGAACCCAAAAUCUUACUAAUAGCAGAAGAUAAAUAGUUCAGAAAGUAGACGAAUCUGGGGCAUGCCAUCUACUGGAAGCAGAGGAGGACUGUAAGGAUCUGCCUAUUCUGCUGUGCUUGAAGGAGUUUUGGCAGUCAACGCAUCUGCCAAUGGAAUUUUUUUCAUCCCAUGGCAUACCUGUGCAACUGGAGUGAGGAGAGAGCACAUCCUUUGUGCCACUGGAUCAUGACAGCUGGUGCAGCCCAAGCCCUUGAGAAACAGUUGAGCCUGCAGCAUCCUCAGGGAUGUGCUGCUGACACAGGUUUCUUCUUCAGGUCCCUCGUGUCCUGAGAAAAAAGGAGUUCCAGUCCUGGGAAAAAGGAAGAAGGCCAAACACAGGAGCAUCCAGAGCAACCUGCCAUGGGGUUGUUUAUCACGUGGGUGGUUUGGGGGCCAUUCCCACAUGCCAGGCUGUAGAAGGCAGCUGCUGUGCCCGGUCUGCAGGUGGUAUCUGGCACCAGAGCACCCCAGCCCUGCAAAGCUCCCAGGAGACACUGUAUUAUUCACGGAAUGCUCUUGGGAAGGAUGGCCAGCCUGGGCAGCAGAACACCUGCAGAGCUGGCCAAAACACUGUGAAAAGGAAGGGAAGAGACUUCCCUCGAGAGUUUGAGCUCACAGACUUGAGCAGGGUGAACAGAUGGGCUGUGGUGCAAGGCCAGGUGAUUUCUUCUGCCAGACAGGUUUAAGUCCUGAGGUCAGUGGUAAAGCGAUGCACACCCUGGCAUUUCUUGCAUUAAAUGCUGGAGCUGCUCACCACACUCACAGAGGCUGAAACCCCUUUUUCCUGUGUCUACAGCAAGUAUAUCCCCGGUUCCACCUGGAGAAUAUCCAGCUUCCACAUCAGGAGAGUGCUGCUGGCUGGAAAGAGCGGAUGCUCAAGUUUGCAUUGAUUUCAGCUCUCUUCACAGCUGCCUCUGCAAUGCCUGGGCAUGCUUUGCCAUGCAGAACAUGCAUUUUGCACAGCAGAUCCUUUCAUAAGUGUGGAGUUACAGACUUCCUGAAAGAAGAUGUGGAUAUCUCAAGAAAAGCAUUCCUAUAUCAUCUGACUUCCUAUGGCCUAGCAGACAGAGUGGUUACACAAUUUAGAGAGGGAUGGAGACAACAGCUAAUUAAAGUUUGGAAGCCAAGCUGUUUGAUUUGUUUUGAGCUCUUGGACUCCUCAAAUUAUUUCAGGUGUGAGCCAGGUCUGGCAUUAGAUGAGCAGAUGGGCUUUAUGACUCCCUGGAUGCAGAGAGGUAGAUUAAGAGAAUGAGGCUUUCCAAAAACAGGAGCAUAACUUUUGCCUCGUCAGAAGCUCCCACAUUUGCUGGCUGUGGAGAACCCUGGAUGAUGUUUGGGAGCAGAGUGGGCUCCUCCUUGUGUAAAGGGUGGUGGAGCUGCAAAAGCACACUUCAACUCUCAUCCAAGAGUACUGGGGAGCAUCUGGGGGGACACAGUUUGUGUGGAAGAAUACAUAUGGUGGGUUAUCACUAAACUGAUGGCUCUUUAUUGUGGAAAAUGGGUUCUCCCUCUCAAAUGUGCUGCAGAGAAACACCAGUCUGGGAGAGGGAGACAAAAGCCACUGUUUGGUUAUUGAAAAAAUUGCUGUACCCCUCGAUUUACACCCUGGAUGCUGCUGGAAAACCCCGCUAUGGGAUCAGCUGUGGUCCCCACGGCAUUAUGGGAUGGACCUGGGCACGUCCUUGCUGGCGUCUGUAAGGAGUCCCCUGUCCUGCUGGGAACAGGCAGCAGCAGCGACCCGUCACCAGGCUGAGCUGCCUCCCUGCAGAAAAUGAGGUCGUUUGGGGACGCUUGGAAAACUUCUCGAAAUCUGGGUGAAAAAGGCAAUAUCUCCAAAUAAGGUGUGAAUGAAGAAUCCCAUCGGAUCGGGCUCCCAGUUCUCCAGCGGGCGUGCAGGGACCUCUUGUGGCAGCUCGAGUCCCCGCUCUUCUGUGCGGGUUCCUUUGGGACAGGCCUGGACGACAAGCCUGUGGCAUGUGGCUGAAUAUUUGGCCUGAUUUGGUGUCAAGGGACUUGUUUGUAACUGGGCUUGGAAGUCUCCAGUUCCAAAACCGCCCCCGGUUAAUGCCAUUGCUGCAGAGGAAGGAAGACAAGGAGAAAAGGCUGGAAACAGGGCUUGUAAGAAACCACAGCUCAACGGGAAGUCCUGGUAAAAUUAAGUAAAAUCUGGGCUAAAAUGAUCCAAAAAGUACUUUGCAUGUACUUUGCACUGUUGCCAGUGCUCCAGCAGUGGGAUCAAAGUCCCUGAACCAGAGGCUCAAUCAAUCACGGUUUAAAUUCCUUCCAUGCAGAAGUGGUAGGUAAAAGCUCUCCAGUCUCCAGAAACAUUUUAACUAUUCCUGUUCGUGAUCCGAGCCAAAUGUUCAUCUUUAGAACCACAACACUGCGAGUGGAGGAGCCUCUGGGGCAAACGGGGCCGGGCUUUCAGGUGCUCCACGGUCUGGGAUUUUCCCUGAAGGCAGGUGAAGGGCAGAGCUGUCUCCACAGAAAAGGGCAGCCGAGAAUUUUGAGGCUAAAGUACCGCAGAUGACUUCUCAUUCGGAAAUCAGCUCUCUGCAAUUUUAUACUCAAUUAAUUGUGAAAUGAUUUUUCUCCUCGGUGCCCUGAGCAGCCCAGCACGUCUCCAAGGCAUGUCUCUCUUUCCUCAGCAUAUCUUAUGCUAAACAGAAAUGUCUUUGCAUUUGGUCUUCUCAGUAACAGAUUAGCCUACGUGAUCCUUCAGGUCCUAAUACACGAGAUUAUUUAUAAUCCCCCGAGCACUCAGGGCUGCAGAUUACUCCAGGCAGUGUCUCCCUGCCAUGUAACUGUUAUGAAAUUACAUUGUCUUGCUCGGCUUUUAAGCAAAUUUCUGCAGCAUGAACAGAUGCUUUUCUAUCAGUUGAGAUUGUCAUAGAAUCGUUUAGGCUGGAAAAGAACCUCACCCCUCUCCUGAUCUGAUUUAAUUAUUCCCCUCCUCAGUGCAAUUACUCGCAGAUGUUUUAGUGUCCGUCACCCCAGAGCCAGGACAGCGACUGAAAGCUCAGGCACCACACGUUUCUGUUUCAGCAAAGAGGAAGUAGAAGAUUUCAUCCAAAAUUAAUACCUCAGAGGAGAGGCAGAGUUUGACAUUAAUCGGUGUGUACACGGUGACUCAUCCUGCCGGCAGAAUGGAAGCGAGGGCUGUGCAGCAGCUUCUGGUGGAGACAUCAAAAAGCAACAGGGGAGCGAUCAAAUUACGGGAAGCUGGAAAAGCAGCGUAGUCGUAGGGUAGAACUAAAACUGUGGCUACGGGAUCGUGAAUUCCCACAAUCCCCAGACGGCAGAGGUGGGGUAUCCCAGGCGUUGGGGAGCUCCUCUCGCGACACGGGACAUGGGGGAUGGAGGAUAACAGGGCUGUGGGCAGAGCAUUAUUUUGGCAGGGCAAUCAGAUAUUUUUCCUUGCUUGGUGUGCGAUCAGCCCCGGUAGUGUGGUCUGUGGGGAUCCUGACUCAGGGUGAGAGGUUUGGAAACCUCCAGCCCAAGGAAACGGUGACGGGCAUCACCUGUCGGGGAUGCUUUGGGGUGAAGGACGCGGCCGCAGCACCUCAUGGGUGAGACGUCUGGCCGGCCGGUGUCACCGAGGUGGAGGAGGAACCUCAGGGCAACGAGGAAAGUGUGCCCAGCUCCCGCACAGCGACAGGACACGUGUGCCCCGCUCCGUGCCACGCUCCCAGCCGGCUUUUGGGCUGGCGCCGCUUCUGCCGUGCGAUGCCGGGGAAGGCUGACGCACCCCCGGGGGCUUAAUUCCCGUCUCCCCCCUCCCCUCGUCCCACGCCCCGAGGGGAAGCGCUGCCGCCGCGUGUCCGCAUCUCUGCCCGGGGGGAUGCGGGAACUGCCAGCGCCGGCAGCGGGGCGGCCCCCGCAGCCCCCAGGCCCUUCCCCUCGGGGGUGAUGCGCAUCCCGGCCGGGGCAGGGCGGUACCGGCGGGGCGGUGCCCGUGCCCGGGGCGG